rnacentral:rRNA from 1 species
UACGAAGGGGCUAGCGUUGCUCGGAAUUACUGGGCGUAAAGGGCGCGUAGGCGGCACUGUUAGUCAGGCGUGAAAGUCCUGGGCUCAACCUGGGAACUGCGCUUGAUACGGCAGAGCUAGAGGAUGGAAGAGGCUCGCGGAAUUCCCAGUGUAGAGGUGAAAUUCGUAGAUAUUGGGAAGAACACCGGUGGCGAAGGCGGCGAGCUGGUCCAUUACUGACGCUGAGGCGCGACAGCGUGGGGAGCAAACAGG